GGAGGUUGGCUUAGAAGCAGCCACCCUUUAAAGAGUGCGUAACAGCUCACUGGUCUAGCGAGUCUGCGCGGAAAAUGACACGGGGCUCAAGCAUACCACCGCAAUCACGUCUGCUUUAAAUCCUUCGGGAUUUUUAGUGGGGUAGGAGAGCGUUCUUGAUGCAGUGAAGGCAUACCGUAAGGAGUGCUGGAGCGUCAAGAAGUGAGGAUGUCGGGAUAAGUAGCGAGAAACAAUGUGAGAAUCAUUGUCGCCGAAAACCUAAGGUUUCCUAGAACAAUGUUCGUCAGUUCAGGGUUAGUCGGGCCUAAGCCGAGGCCGAAAGGCGUAGGUGAUGGACAUCCGGUUAAAAUUCCGGAACCAGGUUAUAGGCGUCAGGAUGAGCGGUGACGCAGAAGGGUAAUCGAUCCCGUCUGAAGGAUGGCGGGCUAAAGCCGUAGGCGUGCUCUUCCAGGCAAAAUCCGGAGGGGCGUUAAGCUGAAAGCUGAUGGGGAGUGCCGGGCGACCGGCGCGAACUCGACCAACCACGCUGCCAAGAAAAACCGCGCAUACUGCCUAUGAUCUGCCCGUACCGUAAACCGACACAGGUGGGUGGGGUGAAAAUCCUAAGGCGCGCGAGUGAGACUUGGUUAAGGAACUAGGCAAAAUUACCCCGUAACUUCGGAAGAAGGGGUGCUCUCCGCAAGGAGAGUCGCAGUGAAAGGGGCAUCGUGACUGUUUAACAAAAACACAGGACUCUGCUGAAAUCGCAAGAUGAGGUAUAGGGUCUGACUCCUGCCCGGUGCUGGAAGGUCAAGGGGAGUGGUUAGCCGCAAGGCGAAGCUACGAACUCAAGCCCCAGUAAACGGCGGCGGUAACUAUAACCGUCCUAAGGUAGCGAAAUUCCUUGUCGGGUAAGUUCCGACCUGCACGAAUGGAGUAACAAAGAUGCCGCUGUCUCAACCAAGUGCUCGGCGAAAUUGUGGUACGAGUGAAGACGCUCGUUACGCGUGGUUAGACGAAAAGACCCCGUGGAGCUUUACUGUAACUUGAUAUUGUGUUAUGGAUCUAAAUGCGUAGAAUAGCUGGGAGCCUUUGAUGCAUGGGUUGUGGCCCGUGUUGAGGCGCAAUGUGAAAUACCAGCCUUUCGGAUCUGUGACACUAACUUACGGCCAUUAUCUGGCCUAGGGACCGUGACAGGCGGGCAGUUUGACUGGGGCGGUCGCCUCCUAAACGGUAACGGAGGCGUUCCAAGGUUCGCUCAGGGCGCAUAGUAAUCGCCCAUAGAGUGCAUUGGCAGAAGCGAGCUUGACUGCAAGGCCUACAAGCCGGGCAGGGACGAAAGUCGGACAAAGUGAUCCGGUGGUACCUCGUGGGAGGGCCAUCGCUCAACGGAUAAAAGCUACCCCGGGGAUAACAGGCUGAUCUGGUCCAAGAGUUCACAUCGACGACCAGGUUUGGCACCUCGAUGUCGGCUCAUCGCAUCCUCCCGCUGGAGCAGGUGGGAAGGGUUGGGCUGUUCGCCCAUUAAAGCGGUACGUGAGCUGGGUUCAGUACGUCGUGAGACAGUACGGUCUCUAUCUACCAUGCGCGUUAGGAAACUUGAAAGGAGCUGUCCCUAGUACGAGAGGACCGGGAUGGACGAACCUCCUGUAUGCCAGUUAUCACGCCAGUGGUAUCGCUGGGUAGCGGUGUUCGGUAGGGAUAAACGCUGAAAGCAUCUAAGCGUGAAACCCGCCUUAAGAUAAGGUUUCCCUAGGUCGCAAGACCUCUAAAGGGCGCAGGAAGACUACCUGCUUGAUAGGCUGCGAGUGUAAGUCCAGUGAUGGAUUAAGCGAAGCAGUACUAAUCGCCCGUGCGGCUUGGCC
rnacentral:rRNA from 1 species